GUUGUACUCCCUCUGUCCCAAAAUUCUUGUCUUAAAUUUGUCUAGACACAGAUGUAUCUAACACUAAAACGUAACUAGAUACAUCCGUAUUUAGACAAAUGUAAAACGAGAAUUUUGGGACAGAGGGAGUAUAUC
rfam:Triticum aestivum genome assembly, contig: Triticum_aestivum_CS42_TGACv1_scaffold_160459_2DL